UACGGAAAUUUUCUAUUUUGUUAAAAAGGCAAUUGCUUAUAUACCUCUAAAAAGUUUCCGACUUUCUGAUUUAUUUCUUUUAGAAGACUAAUAUUAAAAAUAUCAUUUCUACGUUCUAAGUUAUUUUAAAUAUACCUCUAAAGUUAAAUUCUUUUAUUGAAUUGUUAGCAAUAACUGUUAUUUCUAUGAAAUUACUAUUUUAUCAUUUCAAAUAUAUCCUUCUAUCAUAACCAUUUUUAUCGUUUCAAACGUACUCCUCUACCAUCACCAACUUUUCUUAUUUGCCCUUAAGUUAAGGACAAAAUAGGUAUUUUAAUUUUUUUAACUCUGGUAAAUAUUUAACCCAAGUUUAAUCCGAGAUAACUUAACGGAUGAUAAUGGAGUAUUAUUAAAUAACGAAGGAAUAUAUGAGGAGUAUAUUAGAAAUAAAAAAAAAAGAAUAAAUUAGAUAUUUUUGAAGUUUUAAAAGGUAAUUAU
rnacentral:lncRNA from 1 species